UCCCUAGUGGUCCAGUGGGUAAGAUUCUGCUCUUCAAACACAGGGAGUCCAGGUUCAAUCCCUGGUUGGGGAG
rnacentral:tRNA from 1 species